rnacentral:rRNA from 1 species
GUGGCGCACGGGUGCGUAACGCGUGGGAACCUGCCUUUCGGUUCGGAAUAACAGUUGGAAACGACUGCUAAUACCGGAUAAUGACUUCGGUCCAAAGAUUUAUCGCCGAAAGAUGGGCCCGCGUUAGAUUAGCUAGUUGGUGGGGUAAAGGCCUACCAAGGCGACGAUCUAUAGCUGGUCUGAGAGGAUGAUCAGCCACACUGGGACUGAGACACGGCCCAGACUCCUACGGGAGGCAGCAGUGGGGAAUAUUGGACAAUGGGCGAAAGCCUGAUCCAGCAAUGCCGCGUGAGUGAUGAAGGCCUUAGGGUUGUAAAGCUCUUUUACCAGGGAUGAUAAUGACAGUACCUGGAGAAUAAGCUCCGGCUAACUCCGUGCCAGCAGCCGCGGUAAUACGGAGGGAGCUAGCGUUAUUCGGAAUUACUGGGCGUAAAGCGCGCGUAGGCGGUCUAUUAAGUCAGAGGUGAAAUCCCGGGGCUCAACCCCGGAACUGCCUUUGAAACUGCUAGACUAGAAUAUUGGAGAGGUCAGUGGAAUUCCGAGUGUAGAGGUGAAAU